rnacentral:rRNA from 1 species
CUGCUGCCUUCCGUAGGAGUUUGGGCCGUGUCUCAGUCCCAAUGUGGCCGAUCAACCUCUCAGUUCGGCUACGCAUCAUUGCCUUGGUAAGCCUUUACCCCACCAACUAGCUAAUGCGCCGCGGGCCCAUCCAAAAGCGGUAGCAUAGCCACCUUUUACAUAGUUACCAUGCGGUAACUAUGGUUAUGCGGUAUUAGCACCUGUUUCCAAGUGUUAUCCCCCUCUUUUGGGCAGGUUGCCCACGUGUUACUCACCCCGUUCGCCA